rnacentral:ncRNA from 1 species
CCCGCUGAGUUUAAACAUAUCAAUAAGCGGAGGAAAAGAAACUUACAAAGAUUUCCCUAGUAACGACGAGCAAACCGGGAAUAGCCCAGCCUUAGAAUCGGGCGGCUUCGCUGUCCGAAUUGUAGUCUGGAGAAGCUUCCUCAGCGGCGGGCCGGGCCGAAGUCCCCAGGAAGGGGGCGCCAGAGAGGGUGAGAGCCCCGUUGUGCACGGACCCUGUCGCACCACGAGGCGCUGUCUACGAGUCGGGUUGUUUGGGAAUGCAGCCCAAAUCGGGCGGUGAAUUCCGUCCAUGGCUAAAUACGGGCGAGAGACCGAUAGCGAACAAGUACCGCGAGGAAAAGAUGAAAAGGACUUUGAAAAGAGAGUCAAAGAGUGCUUGAAAUUGUCGGGAGGGAAGCGGAUGGGGGCCGGCGAUGCGCCCCGGUCGGAUGUGGAACUGUGUUGAGCUGGUCCGCCGAUCGACUCGGGGCGUGGACCAGCAUGGAUUGGGGGGGGGGGGCGGCAAAAGCCCGGGCCUUUGAUACGCCCGUGGAACGCCGUCUCCUCGAUUGUAGUAGGCAGCGCGCGCCCUUUGCGUGCUACGGCAUCUGCGUGCUCCGGAUACUGGCUGUGGGCUCCCCAUUCGACCCGUCUUGAAACACAGACCAAGGAGUCUGACAUGUGUACGAGUCAACGGGCGAGUAAACCCGUAAGGUGUAAGGAAGCUGAUUGGUGGGAUCCCCCUGAGGGGUGCACCGCCGAUCGACCUUGAUCUUCUGUGAAGGGUUCGAGUGAGAGCAUACCUGUCGGGACCCGAAAGAUUGUGAACUAUGCCUGAGCGGCGCGAAGCCAGAGGAAACUAUGGUGGAGGCCCGCAGCGAUACCGACGUGCAAAUCGUUCGUCUGACUUGGGUAUAGGGGCAAAAGACUAAUCGAACCGUCUAGUAGCUGGUUCCUUCGUUUCCCUCAGGAUAGCUGGAGCUCGCGUGCGAGUUCUAACGGGUAAAACCAAUGAUUAGAGGCAUCGGGGGCGCAACGCCCUCGACCUAUUCUCAAACUUUAAAUAUGUAGGACGGCGCUGCUGCUUUGUUGAGCCGCGCCACGGAAUCAAGAGCUCUAAGUAGGCCUUCCCCGGGCGCGAACAGCCAACUCAGAACUGGUACA